UUUUUGAUAAAUGCUCAGCCCCAAGCUAUUCAAGUCUUUUGACGUGAACUCUGACAUUUUUAGAUGAAAGAAUCCAGUUACUCAACUUUUCACAGCUUUAGGACUAUCUACUCAUAGAUAUCGCCACUUUUUGACACGAGAGUCGACACUUGUGGUGAAAACUCCCGAUUAUUGGGUGACGACACUAACGGAGUAGAGUCAUUUAUUAAUUGCAAUUAAAGCACCAGAAUACCAGAUAGUUAAAGAUCAUGGCCCACGUCAUCUCCUAACAUGGAAAACUGAGAUCAACAAUCGCCCAAUCCACACAACAAUUGCUAGUAAAAUAUUUAUAUUGCCUAAACAUUUUAACCACAAUUUGCACCAAGUCAUUAAACUCAUGAUAUUCACCAAGAUAACAUGCUUUUACUUGCCACUUAAACUAAAUUCAUAGAAUAAAUCACAACCAGCAAUAGAAGAGUGAGUUGCCACAUUUAUUCAUCAAGACAACAGUAAGAUAAGCAGCAAAUUUAAAGAAACACCAGUCGAAUCCAAACCCCCCCCACACUUAAAGCACACAUUGCCCUCAAUGUGAUAAUUAAACAGUAAAAAUAAGAAGAAGGGCAACAAAACUCCCCUGAAAUCGUCAAAACAGCGGUGGGUUAGCUGCAAAUUGAGGUUCAACACCCACAUGGUGCAUAAACGCCGCCAAAUUUUGCGUCAUGCUAUGCACAUUCGCAUCAAUAUUGGUUACCUGAGCCUCCAAUCUCUGAACUCGCAUCUGGAGUUGGUGCCAGUCAUCAGCCCCUAAGGUUGGAGGAGGCGGAGCGGAGGUCGAAGGGCCGGGGUCAACGCUAGCAGUGGAGAAACGGGCAAAAGAUGAACGAGGGGGAAUACGAGACGGUCCCGGGGGAGGAAUCUCCCACCCAUUGUCACCCUCCCUAGCCAAGCCCAUUUUCUCUAGACAAGGGAUGUCUAAUGGCUCCAUUUGAUAUGCUACAUGCAAAUCCUGGUUAGAGAGAUCAAGCACAUGCAAAUUAACAGCCAAAUGGGUAAUAUAGGACCCAAGAAUCAAGGGGUACUUCUUUUUGGUCAAAACAGACUUGAAUUGAGAAGUUAGCCAGCACCCCGAAUUAACUUUAAUGUUAUUAUGCAUGCACCAAAUAAAGAAAAACUCCGACUUAGACAAAAUGCCCGAGCUAUCUCGCCUGCCUGAGAAACUAUAAGCCAAGAAACGCUGGAUGUAGCGAGAAGCCGGGUCCUUGAGAUAAAAGCUCUUGGACUUUUGGGGGUUGUAAGGAGCACAGUCUAUGGACAUCUCUUUCCAAAUAUAGCUAUAGCGGGAGAAGAAGGGCUCUAUGUAGUCACAAGCACUCUCGGCAUACUCACGAGAGUCGGCGUAGGCCCUAUCAAUAAAACCAAAGGCUAGAUUAAAAUCAGUAAUGGAGUGGUGGAAUUCUUGACCCAUUAAUCGAAAACGAAUGACAUUGGGGGUAGAGACUGUGUAACCAGUGGAAAUGUCAAGCUCAAUUGUAGUAUAAAACUCCCUAACCAACUCAACAAAUGCCGGACAGUCAACAAUAUAUGUGUAGGGACGCCACCCGAUGGCAUUAAUCAAGCGGUCAAAGUCAACUGGUAUAUUCAAAAGACUUAAGGUGGCGGCGUCCUGAUAGCGGCAAGGAAUAAUUCGCCGUUCACAACAAAUAGCAUAUUGCUGUUUGUCGGUGGCUCUGGUGAAGUUCAAAUUACCACCAAAAUGUGAAGGGUCAGAAAUAUGGACGCCUCUCUGUCUCCCAAGGCGAGCUCUUCUCCCAGAGGAAGAGGGAUCGUGCAAGGGGUCAGAGGCGGGAAUAGUGGGUUGAGGUGGGGGAGGCCGAGAGGUCCUAGGUGUUCUAGACGUAGAAGAAGAUCUGGGUUUCACCAUUUUUUUCAAAUGUCACUCCAAUCAACAAUAGACAACAAUUUUCAACAGAAAUUAGAACCAACAGAUUCAAAGCAAUAACAAUUGUAAUAACCACUGGGGCCUCUCUAUUAGUCAAUUGAAACAACAAAAUGCACAAUUCAAGCCCCCACCGGCUAUCCAAAUACCCCAAUUCAAGCGUCACAGCUGCCUCCUAAUUCAACAAACAAACCCAGAAAUGACCAACUAAAGGUUCUCAAUUUGAGACCCAGAAAACAAUCCCAAACAAUGCAACAAUUAAACUAAAAAGGGCAAAGGACAUCCAACCAAUUUCACUCGAACAAACUAUGAGCAGUGUUAAUGUCUAAACAAAUCACCAAAUUCCAGCAAUUAGAGACAAUACCACUCAAAAUCUCAAUAACUGUCUCCAAUAAUUCAAUUAAAUUCACCCACAAGCUAUAAGCAACGAAAAUGUUAUCCACACAAUUUAUGCUCCAUAGAUGACGUCAAUUACUCAAUUAGAAAGCAGCAAAGUGGAAUUUGGUGAAUUCCAAAGGUUACCCACGCAAGCUGGCUGGAGAGGCGUCGGUCGACGCUGGUGUCGCGCAUGAUUGCUCGCUGGUGGCGUGUAGCUUGGCCGCGGGCGAGCGAGGCAGCGUCGCGUGGUGGUGUUGGCUGUGAGCUUGUGCAGGUGGAGGUCGCGCAAGGAGGAGAGAGCGAAGCGGAGGGAGGCGCGACUGUGAGAGAUUAGCGGCGGCGGGCUGAGCUCGCGUGGCGGAGAGAUCGAUAUGGAGAGAGAGAGCUGAGCUGGAGAUGAGAGAGUGCGCUGGUGGUGUUGGCCGCGCGUCAGUGGAGAGUAGCUAGCAGCGGCGUGGGCUGCUGAAUUUGGCGACCUGAGGUGGUGAGCUUUGCUGUUUGGUGGCUCGCGAUGGCAGCUGAUGAAGCUUGCGGAUAGCGAAGGUGGCGCGCUGGCACAAUGGAUGAGAGAGGAGGAGAGACGAGCAGAGGGAGGUGGCAGCGGCUGGCGGAGCUUGGCAGUGGCUCGCGCAGGUGGAGGUCGCGCAAGGAGAGCUGGUGGAGAGGAGGCACUGGUCGUGCGGUGUGAAGAGAGAGAGAAGAGGGAGGCGGUGAGGAGCUGGGUGGGUUGUGGACAGUGGUGGCGAUGGAGGUGAGACGCACGAAGUGGAGGAGAGAGGUUGGCGGAGCGCGCGAGGAAGAAGAAGAAAGAAAAGGGAAAGAAAGAAAGAAAGGAAAAGAAAAAGAAGAAAGAAAAGA
rnacentral:lncRNA from 1 species